UCGAACAAGUCUACAGUGCUCCUACUCGACGCCAUUCCAUGUUUGGCCACCUAAAAACGGUCCUCGAGGGCAAGUCUUAUAAUGGAAAAUCUGCAUAAUUUAGUCACUCUUGAUUAAUUGUUAAGAUGUUUCAUCUCACUUUGCCUUCUGGAACAUCCUUGCAUUCUUGACUAACCAAGGUAAAAUUAAUAAGGUCUUGGCCAGGCAUAUUAGUUUGUGUGUGCUGCUUGUUUUUGUCCUAAUAAUUGAGAUCAAAUAUGGCAAAAACAGAGUCUAAUUCAGUUACUUAAUAUGAAUCUACAAUAAUGCUCCUCUAGGCCUAAAUUUACUCGUGGAACAUAAAACUCAGAUGCCCUAACAAAAAAAAAAAGAGAGAACUACGCAUGGCUAGUUUGAAAAAUUAUCGAGGGUCAUAAUUUGAAUAAUGUAUCUGAACAAAAUUCUGAUGCUGACUGAGAUCUAAUUUGGCUCAACUGUUUAAUAAUAGUAGUUCUCUUCUUGCACUGGUAGUUAUCUAUUUUAUUCCUCUUAUCUCCCUCAUUUUACUUAGAAAUCUAUUCUAAGAACUGUAAACUUGUGACGUAUGCAAAUAAAUUUUGCUCCUGGUGUGAAAUUAUGCCAUGUGUUUGAUUUUUGUUGCGGAGAGCCAUUCGGAGACUAGGCAUAUGAGAAAGUUAAUAGGAUUCUGAUGCUGAUAUUUAGAUUUGGCUGAACUGACUGAGAAAAGAUUAUUGUCUUCUUGCACCACUGGUUGUUCUCUAUCUGUGAUAUCCUUCUGUUUGCAUAAUAAAAUAAUGCAUAGAACUGUAAUGUCCAUGUAUGCAAAUGAAUUCUUGGCCUACUGUGAAUUUUGCCAUGUGUAUUUGAUUAACUCAAGCUUGUACUGAAUGAAUCCUGUAGCAACUUCCAGGAAAUGUGCUAUAACUAAAAUUCAUCUCUUCAAUAUGUUCAAUCUUUUGUGAUUAGGUGACCUAUAAGUUUUUUCUUCAUUCUUGAAAUGUUGUGCCUUUGGUGCCUUUGCUUGUCUGUGUCAUCUUUUACAUCACAUCCUGUCAUAUACGUGAUUUAGGAAUUUGAUAAUACUUAAAAUGCUUAUGUGAUGGUACCUGCUUUUCCUUUAACAUUUAUGCAAAUAAAAUUUCAUUAGUAGAUUUUCGAAGCAUUUUUCCUGUUUUAUUUAAGGUGAAUACUCUAUUACAUUUUUUUUAAUAUUUGAAAAAUACAAAAUGAGCUUUUCUUUAUUUCUUUUUGCUGUAUGAGGAACUAAGCCUAUAUCUAAUACUCACAAUUUCUUUUUGGUAUUAUUGACUUAACGAGUCACUUAUCUCGUGCUAUGGUUGCUUACCUCAGUGAGUGACAAUAACCAAGCAAAAAAAUAUACAAUUUUGUUCUUGAGAGCCAUCCAGAGAUUAGAUAUAUGAUAGUCGACAUCCGCUUUGGGCAAUAGGCAGUUAUGUUAGACCAAAUAAGAAAAUAAGGUACAUUCUAAAUGUUGACAAGACAAGCAUAUAUUACUAAUGUUCAUGCUAAGUGCGCUUUACAUGGAUGAAAAAAGAGUAGUGUUAAUUCAUAUUAUGGUUGUCCAAUGUAAAGAGUAGUGGUGUCAAGCAAGCAAAAUGUCCAAGCCAAGUCAUGCAAAACUACGUUGGAGACUCUACCCGGUAAAAACCCCUUGAAAGCGUAACUUCAUAUGGGGGUUCAGGGGAUUUAGUUAAAUGGCGAAUCAACAUAGUGCAAUUUGUGUAUAUGAGAGAGAGAUCAAGGUGCACCUUGGGGCCCUUAUAUAGGGUGGUAAACUACUAUUGAGCUUAGGGUUGUAGUUUAUGUUGCGAACGGGUUACAGACAUUGUCCGACCAUAAAUGAGAUGAGGUCAUGAGAUUGUGCAUCAAAUCUGGGGAUCACGGAGUAACGACUACAUCGAGUAGGCCUCCAUUGGUGCCACGCAAUUCGUCUCAUGGGUUCAGGUAUCUUAUGACACAUCAACCAAAACAGUUGAGGUGUCGACAAAGUGAUGAUAAGAUGUUGACCAAAUAGCGGCGAUGUAUCGGUCAGGUGGUGACGAUGUGCUGGCUAAGAGAUGAUGACAUGUUAGCCAUAUGUUGAUGAAGUGUGUCCACAUGUUAUCGUCCCCAUAUCAUGGCAAAUUUCAUUUUACUCGUCUUUGAUGCCGUCGUUAAUUGAUCAUGAAUUUGUUAACGAGACCCAAAUGGCGAUUAACUAAACAAGAAACUUUUAUGUCAAA